rnacentral:sRNA from 21 species
GUGAACUACCACUGAGCUGAAGACGCAGCGGCUUCUUCGGAAAUCGUCGGGUCUGCGGUUUGGGAGCUUUUUAGGAAGCUCAAGUUCACCAGACUCCUCAUCAGAAAUGAUGAGACCGUUUGAAAGGUCAUGACACCUGCGGUUGACGCAUCAGACCGCUGCUCUGUC